CGUAGGUUGCAAGCGUUACUCGGAUUCACUAGGCGUAAAGCGAGUGUAGGUGGGCAAUUAAGCUUCCUGUGCAAGCCCCGGGCUUAACCCGGGGAGGUCAGGGAAAACUAGUUGUCUUGAGUGAGGUAGGGGAAGUUGGAAUUCCCGGUGUAGCGGUGAAAUGCGUGGAUAUCGGGAGGAACACCAAUGGCGAAGGCAGGCUUCUGGGCCUUCACUGACACUGAGACUCUAAAGCUAGGGGAGCAAACAGGAUUAGAUACCCUGGUAGUCCUAGCCGUAAACUAUGCAGACUAGACGUAGGAAGUAUCGACCCUGACUGUGUCGAAGCUAACGCAUUAAGUCUGCCGCCUGGGGACUACGGCCGCAAGGUUA
rnacentral:rRNA from 1 species